CCGGCGACCGGCGGACGGGUGCGUAACGCGUAUGUAACCUACCUUUGACAGGGGGAUAACAUCGAGAAAUUGGUACUAAUACCCCAUAACAUCACCGGAGGCAUCUUCGGUGGUUGAAAACUCAGGUGGUCAGAGAUGGACAUGCGUUGUAUUAGCUAGUUGGUGAGGUAACGGCUCACCGAGGCGACGAUACAUAGGGGGACUGAGAGGUCAACCCCCCACAUUGGUACUGAGACACGGACCAAACUCCUACGGAAGGCAGCAG
rnacentral:rRNA from 1 species